ACACUCAUGACUAAGCUGUGUGGGAAAUGAAAUGUAAUAGUUUCUAUUUUUAAAGUACUUGCAUGCUACUUAUUGAGACUUAUCAGUCAGUUGAAGAUUAUUUUCAUUAUUACUUUCAUUGAACCAGCAUGUAUUUUAAAAAUUCACAUAUUUUAAAGUUUGAAUUUAUGUGGAAUUUGAUUAUGCCAAAGUUGGGUAUAAUGGGGGUAUGACGUUAGUACAGAGAGUGUUUUUUUUGGUCUGUUUUCUGUUUUUUGUUUGUUUGUUUGAGACAGUCUUUUUAAAAAUAAGUCACUUUAUUCUGAAUAACUUAGAAAUAAAAGGAUCACACAGCUAAUUUAAGAAAUUACACAAACACUUGCCCGGUCACAAACUCUGUACAUCUCAGUAAACUACUAUACAGAUAAAAUAGCCAUUCUUUUUCCUACAUUCUUUCAUUCCUAUAGCUUUCUUGGUCUCCUUUUAAAAUUUUGUACUAUAUCUACAGUGAUACCUACUAACAUAUGUACAUGUAUACAUUAUAGGCUAGGGCCCAAAUUUGAGGGCAAAUGUGUGGGGAUUUUGUUUCUGAAUUUGACAUGAAUUUUUUUUUAAGUUGUAUGUGAAAGUCCGAUUUAGUCCUUUAUCUGCUGUCUAUAUACAUAUAGAUACAUGCAUAUAUAUGUGUGUGUAUGCACACAUACAUACAUUCUUACCUAUAUACACAUGUAUAAACUUCAAUCUUUCUAUAAUAGUGACUCUUUUGAAGUAUGAAAAUAUAGUUUGUUUUAUAAAU
rnacentral:lncRNA from 1 species